UACGUAGGGACCAAGCGUUGUUCGGAUUUACUGGGCGUAAAGGGCGCGUAGGCGGCGCGGUAAGUCACUUGUGAAAUCUCUGAGCUUAACUCAGAACGGCCAAGUGAUACUGCAGUGCUAGAGUGUGGAAGGGGCAAUCGGAAUUCUUGGUGUAGCGGUGAAAUGCGUAGAUAUCGAGAGGAACACCUGAGGUGAAGACGGGUUGCUGGGCCGACACUGACGCUGAGUGCGCGAAAGCCAGGGGAGCAAACGAG
rnacentral:rRNA from 1 species